UCCUACGGGAGGCAGCAGUGGGGAAUAUUGCACAAUGGGCGCAAGCCUGAUGCAGCAACGCCGCGCGAGGGACGAAGGCCUUCGGGUUGUAGACCUCUUUUAGUAGGGAAGAAGCGACUGGGUUUUCCUGGGAGUGACGGUACCUGCAGAAAAAGCACCGGCUAACUACGUGCCAGCAGCCGCGGUAAUACGUAGGGUGCAAGCGUUGUCCGGAAUUAUUGGGCGUAAAGAGCUCGUAGGCGGUUUGUCGCGUCUGCUGUGAAAACCCGAGGCUCAACCUCGGGCCUGCAGUGGGUACGGGCAGACUAGAGUGCGGUAGGGGAGAUUGGAAUUCCUGGUGUAGCGGUGGAAUGCGCAGAUAUCAGGAGGAACACCAAUGGCGAAGGCAGAUCUCUGGGCCGUAACUGACGCUGAGGAGCGAAAGCAUGGGGAGCGAACAGGAUUAGAUACCCUGGUAGUCCAUGCCGUAAACGUUGGGAACUAGAUGUGGGGACCAUUCCACGGUCUCCGUGUCGCAGCUAACGCAUUAAGUUCCCCG
rnacentral:rRNA from 1 species